CGGCGGACGGGUGAGUAACACGUGGGUAACCUGCCUCAAACUGGGGGAUAGCCUUCCGAAAGGAAGAUUAAUACCGCAUAAUGUCAAAUUACCGCAUGGUAGCUUGAUCAAAGGAGUAAUCCGGUUUGAGAUGGACUCGCGGCCUAUCAGCUUGUUGGUGAGGUAAUGGCUUACCAAGGCGACGACGGGUAGCCGGCCUGAGAGGGUGACCGGCCACACUGGGACUGAGACACGGCCCAG
rnacentral:rRNA from 1 species